AUAUGUCUUCGGGGCAGGGUGAAAUUCCCUACCGGCGGUAAAGCCCGCGAGCUAUGAAAAUAGUUGAUUUGGUGAAAUUCCAAAGCCGACAGUAUAGUCUGGAUGAGAGAAGAAUGUU
rfam:Clostridium bartlettii CAG:1329 genomic scaffold, scf38